rnacentral:tRNA from 1 species
UCCUCAGUAGCUCAAUGAUAGAGUGGUCGGUUGUUAACCGAUUGAUCAUAGGUUCAAAUCCUACUUGGGAAG